rnacentral:tRNA from 1 species
GCAGCGAUGCCCGAGUGGUCUAAGGGGGCAGAUUUAAGCUCUGCUGUUGAUAAACGCGCGAGUUCGAACCUCGCUCGCUGCA